rnacentral:rRNA from 1 species
AUGGAUCUGAAUGAGAUAAAAGAAAAUGCAUGUGCUAUUAAUUUUACUGAAAUGAAGGAAUACAUCAUGUCCUUCCCUAGCAAAACCAAGUUAGUGAAUAUCCAUGACACAACCUUGACACGUCGAGAUUUGGAAUGUCUUUUAGAAGAUGAGAUAUGGGUGGAGAGCGAGGUCAUAAAUGCAUAUAUUUACUGCCUAAGGGUCCAGGAUAAAUUUUGUACAGCGGGUGCACGUGUAUUCUUGGAAACUACAUAUGAUUCAGGAAUACUUAAGCGAGAUGGUGAAAUUCCUAUAAGCCUUGAGAGUCAUCACCACAUGGUUGAAAAGGUGCUUAAGUAUCUACAGCAUGACAUGGUUAGACUAAUUUUCCUACCUAUGGUUCUAUCAUUUGUUAUCAAUUUGUUUACCUAG